rnacentral:rRNA from 1 species
UAGUCCACGCUGUAAACGAUGGAUACUAGUUGUUGGGAAUUUAUUCUCGGUGACGGAGCUAACGUAUUAAGUAUCCCGCCUGGGGAGUACGAUCGCAAGGUUGAAACUCAAAGGAAUUGACGGGGGCCCGCACAAGCGGUGGAGCAUGUGGUUUAAUUCGAUGCAACGCGAAGAACCUUACCUGGGCUUGAACUGCUAUUGACCGUACCAGAGAUGGUAUUUCCCUUCGGGGCAGUAGUAGAGGUGCUGCAUGGCUGUCGUCAGCUCGUGUCGUGAGAUGUUCGGUUAAGUCCGGCAACGAGCGCAACCCUUGUCUUUAGUUGCCAGCACGUAAUGGUGGGAACUCUAAAGAGACUGCCUGGGUUAACCAGGAGGAAGGUGGGGAUGACGUCAAGUCCUCAUGGCCCUUACGUCCAGGGCUACACACGUGCUACAAUGGUUAGUACAACGAGAAGCGAGACAGCAAUGUUUAGCCAAUCUCUUAAAACUAAUCUCAGUUCGGAUUGAAGGCUGC